GGAUCCAGACUUUGAUUAUGGCUCAGGAUGAACGCUAGCUACAGGCUUAACACAUGCAAGUCGAGGGGAAACGACAUCGAAAGCUUGCUUUUGAUGGGCGUCGACCGGCGCACGGGUGAGUAACGCGUAUCCAACCUGCCCACCACUUGGGGAUAACCUUGCGAAAGUAAGACUAAUACCCAAUGAUAUCUCUAGAAGACAUCUGAAAGAGAUUAAAGAUUUAUCGGUGAUGGAUGGGGAUGCGUCUGAUUAGCUUGUUGGCGGGGUAACGGCCCACCAAGGCGACGAUCAGUAGGGGUUCUGAGAGGAAGGUCCCCCACAUUGGAACUGAGACACGGUCCAAGCUCCUACGGGAGGCAGCAGUGAGGAAUAUUGGUCAAUGGGCGAGAGCCUGAACCAGCCAAGUAGCGUGCAGGAUGACGGCCCUAUGGGUUGUAAACUGCUUUUAUA
rnacentral:rRNA from 1 species